GAUGAAGAACGCAGCGAAAUGCGAUAAGUAGUGUGAAUUGCAGAAUUCAGUGAAUCAUCGAAUCUUUGAACGCAUCUUGCGCUCCUUGGUAUUCCGAGGAGCAUGCCUGUUUGAGUGUCGUGAAUACUCUCAACUUCAACCCUUUUUUCGGAAAGGGAGGAAGGUUGGACUUGGGUGUUUGUUGAAGUGCGAGCUUCGACUCAUCCUAAAUGCAUUAGCGAUCUGCCUCGAUCACACACAAUGUGAUAAUUAAAACUAAAGCAUUGUUUAAUGAUCAAGUCGAGACUGCUUCUAACUGUCGCAAGACAAUAACGUGCAUACAUUUGUGCAUGUCAUUUGACCUCAAAUCAGGUAGGACUACCCGCUGAACUUAAGCAUAUCAAUAAGCGGAGGA
rnacentral:misc_RNA from 1 species